rnacentral:rRNA from 1 species
UACGGGGGGGGCAAGCGUUGUUCGGAAUUACUGGGCGUAAAGGGCUCGUAGGUGGCCAACUAAGUCAGACGUGAAAUCCCUCGGCUUAACCGGGGAACUGCGUCUGAUACUGGAUGGCUUGAGUUUGGGAGAGGGACGCGGAAUUCCAGGUGUAGCGGUGAAAUGCGUAGAUAUCAGGAGGAACACCAAUGGCGAAGGCAGCUCGCUGGGACGGUACUGACGCUGAGACGCGAAAGCGUGGGGAGCAAACAGG